GGCAGCUGAAACACACAGCAGAGGUACUGUGGAUGUCACUGCUGCUUUGUCAACAAACUGUUCCACAAAACAAGCAGCUCUUGUUUCUGCAUGUUGUUGUUGUAUCCUUUUUUUUCCAGAUGUAGCAUGUUGAUCGGUGUCCUUAUGCUAAGCUAAGCAUACCAAGUGCUGGCUUUCUAUACGUAUGAGAGUCCUAUCAGCCUGCACUUGUACCUCUCAAAGAGACAGAGAGAAAUGGUGAACUGUUCCUUUAAGUGUGAGUAACAUUUUUAUAACAACAUAAAGGAAGGUGCUAUUCACCUGUAGAUAAAAUACAGCGAGAAAGGCCACGAAGCAGCGACACAAGUAAUCCCCUCAAACACUUAAAAUCCGCACACAAGAAGGAACCCAGACACACAAGCCUCCUGCACCACCCGCGGACCGAGAGUUCACACCAGACUACGUCCACCUGCUGUUCUUUGCUCCAGUCCCGCUUCGUCCUCCUCAUCGUCUUUAUGAGCUGGAUGAGUCCAACAGGUCGGGAACAACAUCGCCCCCCACACACACACACACCUGCAUGAGGCCAAAGCAGUUUGGGUCCGUCUGUCCGUAGCCGGUGGUGUUCAGGUUGAUUCCAGCCUGAGACUGUCUGGAGAUAAUGGCAGCAAUCAGGGCAGGCUGGACACCAAGUCUGGAGGCAGGAGACAACAACUUCUGUCAACAGUGUCUCUGGCACUGGACUGUUGACAACAUUCAGGUCUGUAGCAGAGAAUUCUGCUUAACUUGCAUGAUAGAAACUUGAAACCAGAGACUUGAAACAAACUAAAAUUUCUCCAGGUUUGUAUUAGUACAUACUUUGUUCCCACAUUGCGAAUUUGCAUUUUGUACUUGAGCAAUUCAUCCCAGUCUCUCCGUGCUAGCUCGUAGGAUGCUUCUUUGCCUGAAGCAGAGAUUGAGUCACAUGAAGUGAAUCCCAGAUGAAAUGUCAUUUUCAACAAUGAGAGGAUUUGGAUCCUCUGGGAGGUUCAUGUUGUCUGAAGGCGAACUGACCGCUGAUGUUCAGCUGGUUUGUGCUGGCUGUGAUUUCAGAAGCUCCGAUUGUAUCCAGCAUGUUGAUGUCUCCAUACUCUGAAACACACAGAGGACAGACAGACAACAUCUCCGCCCAUUCAUUUCUGAUAACAGUGAAGCAGUUUGACCACGAGCACUGAAACAAGAGAAACACGGAGGAAAUCACACCAUGAAGAUGAUCACUGCCACUGAAAUGUCUCUCAGGACACAGCAGAGACCGACCUUUCAGAUGCCGCUUCUUCACGAGAAGAACAGAAGCUACGAUGGCG